GGGGAGAACCAACAGCGGGAUUGCCCCAGUAACGGCGAGUGAAGCGGCAACAGCUCAAAUUUGAAAUCUGGCCCCAGGCCCGAGUUGUAAUUUGCAGAGGAUGCUUUUGGCGCGGUGCCUUCCGAGUUCCCUGGAACGGGACGCCAUAGAGGGUGAGAGCCCCGUACGGUUGGACACCAAGCCUUUGUAAAGCUCCUUCGACGAGUCGAGUAGUUUGGGAAUGCUGCUCAAAAUGGGAGGUAUAUUUCUUCUAAAGCUAAAUAUUGGCCAGAGACCGAUAGCGCACAAGUAGAGUGAUCGAAAGAUGAAAAGCACUUUGAAAAGAGGGUUAAACAGCACGUGAAAUUGUUAAAAGGGAAGCGCUUGUGACCAGACUUGCGCCCGGUGAAUCACCCAGCCCUCGCGGCUGGGGCACUUUGCCGGCACAGGCCAGCAUCAGCUCGCCGUCGGGGACAAAAGUAGGGGGAACGUAGCUCUCUUCGGGGAGUGUUAUAGCCCCCUACAUAAUACCCUUCGGCGGGCUGAGGUACGCGCUCCGCAAGGAUGCUGGCGUAAUGGUCACCAGCGACCCGUCUUGAAACACGGACCAAGGAGUCAACCUUAUGUGCGAGUGUUUGGGUGUCAAACCCCUACGCGUAAUGAAAGUGAACGCAGGUGAGAGCUUCGGCGCAUCAUCGACCGAUCCUGAUGUUCUCGGAUGGAUUUGAGUAAGAGCAUAUAGGGUUGGACCCGAAAGAAGGUGAACUAUGCGUGUAUAGGGUGAAGCCAGAGGAAACUCUGGUGGAGGCUCGCAGCGGUUCUGACGUGCAAAUCGAUCGUCAAAUAUGCGCAUGGGGGCGAAAGACUAAUCGAACCUUCUAGUAGCUGGUUUCCGCCGAAGUUUCCCUCAGGAUAGCAGUGUUGAACUCAGUUUUAUGAGGUAAAGCGAAUGAUUAGGGACUCGGGGGCGCUAUAUUGCCUUCAUCCAUUCUCAAACUUUAAAUAUGUAAGAAGCCCUUGUUACUUAAUUGAACGUGGGCAUUCGAAUGUAUCAACCCUAGUGGGCCAUUUUUGGUAAACAGAACUGGCGAUGCGGGAUGAACCGAACCCGAGGUUAAGGUGCCAAAGAAUCGCCCACCAGACCCCCAAAAGGGGUUAUUUAUCUUGACCCCGGAACGUGGCCUGGAAAUCGAAAUCCCCAAGAAUGGGUAAAACCCCCCUCCAAAGACAACCCCGAAAGGGGGGGGGCCACGCACCCCCCCCCCCCCCCCGGGGAAAAAAGAGGGUGAAGAAAGAGGGGGGGGGGGCGGGAGAAAACACGGGGGGGGCCCCGGGAAAAGCCCUUUAAAUUUUGGGGGGAAAA
rnacentral:rRNA from 1 species